rnacentral:rRNA from 1 species
UGUGAAAGCCUUCGGCUCAACCGAAGAAGUGCAUCGGAAACUGGGAAACUUGAGUGCAGAAGAGGACAGUGGAACUCCAUGUGUAGUGGUGAAAUGCGUAGAUAUAUGGAAGAACACCAGUGGCGAAGGCGGCUGUCUGGUCUGUAACUGACGCUGAGGCUCGAAAGUAUGGGUAGCAAACAGGAUUAGAUACCCUGGUAGUCCAUACCGUAAACGAUGAAUGCUAAGUGUUGGAGGGUUUCCCCCUUCAGUGCUGCAGCUAACGCAUUAAGCAUUCCGCCUGGGGAGUACGGCCGCAAGGCUGAAACUCAAAGGAAUUGACGGGGGCCCGCACAAGCGGUGGAGCAUGUGGUUUAAUUCGAAGCUACGCGAAGAACCUUACCAGGUCUUGACAUACUAUGCAAAUCUAAGAGAUUAGACGUUCCCUUCGGGGACAUGGAUACAGGUGGUGCAUGGUUGUCGUCAGCUCGUGUCGUGAGAUGUUGGGUUAAGUCCCGCAACGAGCGCAACCCUUAUUAUCAGUUGCCAGCAUUAAGUUGGGCACUCUGGUGAGACUGCCGGUGACAAACCGGAGGAAGGUGGGGAUGACGUCAAAUCAUCAUGCCCCUUAUGACCUGGGCUACACACGUGCUACAAUGGAUGGUACAACGAGUUGCGAACUCGCGAGAGUAAGCUAAUCUCUUAAAGCCAUUCUCAGUUCGGAUUGUAGGCUGCAACUCGCCUACAUGAAGUCGGCAUCGCUAGUAAUCGCGGAUCAGCAUGCCGCGGUGAAUACGUUCCCGGGCCUUGUACACACCGCCCGUCACACCAUGAGAGUUUGUAACACCCAAAGUCGGUGGGGUAACCUUUAGGAACCAGCCGCCUAAGGUGGGACAGAUGAUUAGGGUGAAGUCGUAACAAGGUAACCA